AAUCUUGAGAGUCUCAUCAAGAGCCUGAUGGGGUUUAUUUUAUUGUGAAACCACUACUGCCCAGGGUAUGGCUGUGCUGGCUCUGCCCCCUUAGGAAAGGGGCUUUCCUACAGCAUUGGGAAGUUUGGUCCCUCUCAAAUCCAUCCUGACAGAGGGCUCCCUGCACCCAUGAUCCCUGGAAGGAAUGAAAAUAAUCCAGCAGUGCUAUAAAACAAACAUUCAGCCUCCAUAAGAGCACACCCCAGGUUACUGCCCAAAUUGCUGGCUGAGGAGGGGCAGCACCUCCUCCCUCAGCACAGAAACCAAAUUUGCCCCAUUUGAAUGAUUAACAGUGAAACACUUCCCACAUGUCAGCUUUUACUGGCAACAUUUACAGAAAAAUAAAAAAAAUCAGUAGUUGAACAUAUUUCUCAUCUUUACUCUUUUGCAUAGAAUAAACAAAAAUAUAAUUUCAAAAUUUAAAUGAAAGGGAAAUGGGGAUUAACCAGGCAGUAAGUGAAAGCAAGCUGCAGCCUUGAGCACAUUUGUAAUUAGGCAAGUUACAAACACUUCAGUAAUGAGAAGGAUAAUAGAAAUUCUGACAGGUCCUGUGCUGGAGAGAGCUUGUGGGCACCACUGUAAUAAAUGAACAGAGAUCUAUUUGAUUUUUUGUUAGAAGUGAAAAGCCCCAAGAGUUCUGUGUUACUUCCUUUAGUGCUUAGUGAUGCUGUUUGUAUGAGACCUUCCCCUACAUUUUAAAUCACUCAUUGCUGCUUUGGCAGUGUCUGUUAGAUUCCAUUAGAUUCAUUAGCUCUUCUAAAGAGCAUUGCUCUGUGGAAAUAGCUGAAACAGCUGCCCUGUGUAAUUUUGUUAUUGCUUUAAUUUACUCAGAAUUCUGUUUUAACACUCCAGCUGUUAAAUAUAAAGAGGAAAAAACAAUCAAUAUAAAAGCACUUUCUACCUCAGUAUUCUUAUGUGUACAGUUUGGGGGAAGAUGGCUGAGAAACUAAACAAAUGUAAGGCUCUUUUUGUUAUUUUCCAGGAGAUUUCUUGGAGCUGCUGAAAGUAGAUAGCACUUCUGAAAAUGUCAAUGAUGGAGCACUUCACUGUGGGGAAUAAGGGAUAAGGUUUUACUGAGCAUCUCUGUGCACUGCAGACCUGCUGCUGGAAAUGGACCAACUGGGGAAUAACUAAAGCUAGAGAGAGCUGCAUCUGCUGAACUGAGACUGGAAUUUGGCACCUGUAGCCUCAUCCUGAUCAAAAAGGAACCCCUGCACAAAAGAGAGGUGUGUGAGAAUCCCCACAGAGCAAUAAAUACCGGAGGAAUUCUUUGCCUGAGAGUCUUUCCUUACUUUACUGCUACUCACCAGUCUGUUUGGGACAUGGUUGCUUACAUUAUUAACAAGGCUGGAUUUAAGCAAUUUGUCUACUCAUUGGACACUUAGAAUGGACCCGUCCUUUUAGAAGAUAUAUCUAGCUACAGCCAAAAAUAGCUCAAUAGAGAUAACUCGUUUUUGAAGUUUGUUGUUUGAAAUACAGUAAUUAGAUUUAAUUAUUUAGAUGGCUUCUUCAUGUAUCCCCAAGAAGUCC